UCACUGGCCAAGGAGAAUCAAAGAGCUAGAUGCUGAGAAUAAUGCAGCCAUAACGUGAAAUCUUUUUGAGACCACUCACUCUGGGAGAAAGCAACUGGCUAUGUCAUGAGGAAAUUGAAACCACCUAUGGAGAAAGGCCCACAUGGUGAGAAAGUAAAGCCUCUUCCCAAUACCAAAAUUCUGUAAGUCUGCUACGGUGACAUUUCUGGUUAGGAGUCAGAGUGGAUGGGACACUGAGCAAUAAGAAUGCAGAGACAUGAUGGCUGAAGCUGGAGCUUUUCCCUGAAGCAACCACCUGUUGGAAACUUCAUGUUGAAGAUGACUGAAUAAUAAGACAGAGGGGUCUGGGUCCCUGGUGGAUAUUCCAGAUCUGGGUGUUCGUGGAGAUAUGAGAAAGCAAUAAACUUCAAUUUUGCUUAAA
rnacentral:lncRNA from 1 species